UAUGGGGGGAGCAAGCGUUGUUCGGAUUUACUGGGCGUAAAGGGCGCGUAGGCGGCCAGCACAAGUCAGUUGUGAAAUCUCCGAGCUUAACUCGGAAAGGUCAACUGAUACUGUGCGGCUAGAGUGCGGAAGGGGCAACUGGAAUUCUUGGUGUAGCGGUGAAAUGCGUAGAUAUCAAGAGGAACACCUGCGGCGAAGGCGGGUUGCUGGGCCGACACUGACGCUGAGGCGCGAAAACCAGGGGAGCGAACGGG
rnacentral:rRNA from 1 species